CAGCCGCCACGGGAAUACGUAGGUGGCAAGCGUUGUCCGGAAUUAUUGGGCGUAAAGCGCGCGCAGGUGGUUUAAUAAGUCUGAUGUGAAAGCCCACGGCUCAACCGUGAAGGGUCAUUGGAAACUGUUAAACUUGAGUGCAGGAGAGGAGAGCGGAAUUCCAUGUGUAGCGGUGAAAUGCGUAGAUAUAAGGAGGAACACCAGUGGCGAAGGCGGCUCUCUGGUCUGUAACUGACGCUGAGGCUCGAAAGCGUGGGGAGCAAACAGGAUUAGAUACCCCUGUAGUCCCUGUCUCUUAUAC
rnacentral:rRNA from 1 species